AUUGAACGCUGGCGGCAGGCUUAACACAUGCAAGUCGAACGAGCGGCGGACGGGUGAGUAAUGUCUGGGAACCUGCCUGAUGGAGGGGGAUAACUACUGGAAACGGUAGCUAAUACCGCAUACCAUCGGAUGUGCCCAGAUUGGAUUAGCUAGUAGGUGGGGUAAAGGCUCACCUAGGCGUCGAUCCCUAGCUGGUCUGAGAGGAGGACCAGCCACAAUGGAACUGGGACACGGUCCAGACGCCUACGGGAGGCAGCAGUGGGGAAUAUUGCACAAUGGGCGCAAGCCUGAUGCAGCCAUGCCGCGUGUAUGAAGAAGGCCUUCGGGUUGUAAAGUACUUUCAGCGGGGAGGCGUUACUCGCAGAAGAAGCACCGGCUAACUCCGUGCCAGCAGCCGCGGUAAUAC
rnacentral:rRNA from 1 species